rnacentral:lncRNA from 1 species
UCCAAGACCAAGUUCACCAAGAGGUGCCUCCCCACAAGCCGUCUCUUCAAAGCCGCCUUCUCCAAGAGCAGAGCUACCAACAUUGGACACUCCAAGACCUCCUUCUCCAAGAGCUGCUUCUUCAAGGGCAGAGCCACCAACAUUGGACACUCCAAGACCUCCUUCCCCAAAAACUGCCUCUCCAAGGGCAGACCCACCAAGAUUCGAUGCUCCAAGACCCACCACGCCUAAACCUCCUUCUCCAAGAGCAGACACACCAAGAUUGGAUGCUCCAAGACCUACCACGCCUAAGCCUCCUUCUCCAAGAGCAGACGCACCAAGAUUGGAUGCUCCAAGACCCACUACGCCUAAGCCCUCUUCUCCAAGAGCGGUUUCGCCUAGGGGUGUGCAGCGACGAGAGGUUGUUUAUAGACCAGAGGCGACGCUUCCGGUCCAACAUG